AAAUAUAAAUAAAUAAACGAAAUAAAAAAAAUCCAUCUAAGCACUUAAAAAGAAAACAAUCGAAAAAAAAACAAAAAACUACCAAAUAUCAACACAACAUUGACUUACGUGCCCCCCAAACGAACCGUUCGCACACUUGCCGCCGCACUGCCAGUGCAAAGCAGCUUCGCUGAGCGCGCGCACGUGCCUUCUUCACUCAAUGUAAUCAUCGGCGCUUCGUUUCUCGUCUACUGUUAGCGUCUGCUAACUGUUUAGUGUUUAUUUGUAUUUUUUUGCAUGGUGCUUUUUAUUGCUCACUUCUGCUGCUGCUGCUGCUGUUGCUGCUGAUUCGCUGUUGCAUGCAAUUGCUCUUGCAUUAGAUGCCUGAUUUUUUUUUUUUUGUUUUUGGCAGUAAUAAACUCAAGCAAGAAAAGCUGACGAAAAAAAAGUUUUGGAGAAUAACCGUUACUGCUCGAAGAAGUAAAACAGCGAAUUGUUAAAGUGCAGAUAAUUCCUCGAUUGCAUGCGGCCCUUUUUGGCGAAAUUCCAGCAACAAACCAUUAAUUUGCUUUGGCAAUACACACCUUCUACGUCGUGACUGCGUAUAAAAAAAUACAAAGUUUUAACAAAAUCACACUCAUAAGAGACAAGGCACAUAAGAAACAACAGUUUGAAUACCGCAAACAUCUACUCUUUGCCACAUUUUUCUCUGCAACAUUUGAUAAAAUGCGAGAAAAUAUAUGAAUAAAGCAAAAAUCAUUUUGGUGACUUGUAGCACAAACAGACAUACAAUAAUAAUUUUACAUAUAUAUUUACAUACAUGAAUCACUUUAAAGUGGCAGCAAAUUACAACAACAAGCGAUUAAUUUCAACUUAACAAAAAUAAAAAAUUAAAAACGUUUUAACUUCAUUCAAACAACGAUUCUGUGAUAUAAGAACCAAAAGGUAAGUGAAUGAAUUUGA